AGAUCGAUCGAGCUGGAAGCAGCUUUCCCACAAAGUACAGUAGCAGGUCAAGGCAGGUAUACAGACAUGAUCGAUUUUACAUGAUGGCGCACGCUUGGGGAUUUUCUUCACCGAAACAAUCGGGGCGUGUCAUGCAGUAACUACUAGUGGCAUAGCUCCUCCCACCGCCGUAACUAUCAUACACUGGCCCACCGUAACCAUACCCAGUUUGGCAGGGACCACCCGGAUGCCCUCCGUAACAAUCCAUACAACACUCGCUCACCGUCACCGGAGGGUAAGCCGGAACCAGAAACAGAACCGGCUCUUCCUUCGGCUUCUCUGCCUUCUUGGGUUCGUCUUUAGGCCUUUCAGCCUCCUUCGGUGUCCCUUUAGGCUUGUCAGCAUCUAUUGGUUUCUUUUUAGGCUCCUCUUUCUUCUUCUCCUCUGGUUUCGCUUUAGGCUUCUCCUCCUUUGGUUUCUCUUUGGGCUUCUCGGGCUCUUUGAUGUCGAUGCUCUUGAUGGCGCCACCUCCUUUGCAGCAUAGCUUGUCUCUGAUCUUCUCAGGACUGCAGCAGACCACCUUGAUGAUCACCUGGUUGUUCUUCUCGUCGUACGUCUGGUCUCGUAUUUCUCUUGUUCACAAAAUCCAACCAAUACCAGAAACCACACUCAAUUUACGUUUUUUUGUUUUCUCUGCUAAAAUACACAACGUACCAGAAUGGAAGAGAAAAGAAGAAACUCACGAGGGAAUUUACAGAGAACUUUCUUAACCUUCUUGUAGCAUUUUUCACACUGAAGGUCCACCUUCAGAACCAUUAUCGUCACCUGAUGACAUUAAUACAAUCAUUUUUGCAGAAAUUAGAUAGGUAUAGAGAAUGGUUAAUUACUUCUUCUUCUUUUUUAUGUAGAAGAAGAAGUGAGUAAUUAAGAAUGGAUCGAAGAUGAUUUGAAGAUCGAUGAGGAAUCGAAUCGAUCUCUGUGUUUCUGACAGAAGAAUGAUGAGUCGGGUAUAGGCGACAAAUUGAAGAAGAAAGAGCCAAAAGCUUGAGAAUUAAAAAGUGAGGAGCAGCAGCCACAAAAAAUAAAAAUUGAGAGGAGCAGAUUUGAUGCAAUGGGCAAUCAAUCUACUUAUCUAUAUGAUGAGGAAAAAGAGCUGGAAAAGCAUAAACAACUUUCUAGUAGCUAAUGUUAAGAAAGAAAUACCUUUUUUUCCCCCAUUGUUGCAGCAGUGAGAUGGGAUCUGAUGUUCUUUGUGAACGGAACCUCCCAGCUAAAAUGAUUGAAUAGGACGGGAGUCAGUGACCCGAGUUGGCAUAUAAAUUGAGCAGCUGGCGGNNNNNNNNNNNNNNNNNNNNNNNNNNNNNNNNNNNNNNNNNNNNNNNNNNNNNNNNNNNNNNNNNNNNNNNNNNNNNNNNNNNNNNNNNNNNNNNNNNNNNNNNNNNNNNNNNNNNNNNNNNNNNNNNNNNNNNNNNNNCUCUCUCUCUCUCUCUCUCUCUCUCUCUCUCUGAUCUGAAACUUUUCCUCUCUCUCUUUCACCGAUGCCACCCUCCUUCGCCGAUGCCAUCCCACCCGCCGCUUCAUCUCCGGCUCCGACGAGGUCCGGGAGCUGCCGGAAAACGACUGCAAGAUCUGAACGAUCGCAUCCACCAAGACCCGAGGGGCCGGGCUCGUCAUUCUCAUCGACGACAUCCACUUCGGUCAAGUCCAGUGAGCCCGUCGUUGUCGCCGCCGUCGGUCAACAUCUGCACCGUUUCACAUUGGCGCUGCCUCGAGGAUCCGCGACCGAGAUGUUACCAUCGAGAUAGGACGACUCCGGAGAAGCGUUGCGCUACUACGAGUCCGAAGAGCAGCGUUCUGGUCGUUCUCCAACGUCGUCUGCACACCGUCGCUUGGAAACGUCGAUGCGAGCUGAGCUUGACGAGGCCGACGAAGAUGGAGUCGGGAGGGAAGGUGGAGGCGGCGCCAGGGAGAGGAGGCUUGGUGUUGGUGGAUUUGGAGCGGAGGAGCUCGGUGAGGACGGUCAGGAUGCGCUUGGAGUCCACGUGGACGGUGAAGAGGUUGGGGACGUUGGCGGGGUAGGCGCGGAUGACCUCCGGCUGAUCAAUCUCCUCGAUUGAAAUCCCUCAAAACUUAGGCAGGUGCAUGGCUUUGACUAGUUUUUCUCUCUAUUUUUAUGAGAUGAGAAUUUGAGAAAAGAGGAAGGGUGAAUAGGAAAAGGGACGGUGGAAUAUUGAACGUUGACGAUGUUUAUUAGUCCAGUUGUUUUGUUUUCUGAGUCCUUUCGAACUUAAAAAUGUAUGUUUAAAAUGAUUAUUGACUGACAGUAACUGAUUAUUGGGGGUCAGUAACUGAUUAUGUUCUAAUAUUUCUUUUUUCUAGUAUUAUUAAGCUGAAAUAAGUUGAUUAUUGGGGGUCAGUAAUUGAUUAUUAGAGGUUAGUAACACGAUUAUUAGGGGUCAGUAACUGGUUAUUGGGGUCAGUAACUGGUUACUGGGUGUCAGUAACUAACUGGUUACUGGGUGUCAGUAACUGGUUAUUAGGUGUCAGUAACUGGUUACUAGGUGUCAGUAACUGGUCAGUUAGUGGUUACUGGGUGUCAGUAACUAGUUAUUGGGGGUUAGUAACUGAUUAUUAUGAGUCAUUAACUUGUCAGUAACUGGUUAUUGGGAGUCAGUAACUAGUUACAGGGGAAAUUCCGGAGUCCGGCGAUCGAGGAAAUUCUGGUGACCGGAGUCCGGCGGUCGGGGAAAUUCCAGUGACCGGAGUCCGGCGGCCGGUGACCAGAGUCCGGUGAGAUUCCGGCCAAGUAUUCUCUCUUUUAUUUUCUCUCUCUAUGCAUAUGUAAGAGGUGAGGGCAAAAUAGUCUUAAAAUAAUAUGGUUAAUUUGUUAAGACUUUAGUAAAUAUUUGUGUAUUUUGGCAUAAAGAUUUGUGCAUUUGGACAUAAAAAAAUGCAUCUUAUAUUGAAAUGGGCUAAUGAAAAAGAUUUUCAUUGGAAUAAAAAUAAAAAUUUAAAUUAGUACUAAAUUGACAUUCUAAUGCAAUAGAAUGGUCUGAAUGUGGAGGAUGGACCAAAUUAAUACCGCAGUAAUAUGAUUAGGGUGUCAUUCACCCGGCCACAUCUUGUUGUUUUCGAUUCAAGUAUCAAGCACCCACAUGGCACAUGGAGCAUCCCACAACUGUCCCCGGCGCUAGUAGUUGCCACCGUCCAUCUUCGGACUAGCAAAUUGUUAUGGAUCAUUCUCCUUACCAUGAUCCACGACGUAUUACCAAGAAUACAUGAUAAGCCAUUGUUUCCCCCUUUCUUUUGCGUCUGUGACUAUCAGGACCGGGAGAGAUGAGGUUUAUUGGUCUAUGGUGUGGUGAGGGUACGGUACAUGGUUCGUUAUGGUGUUUCCUGCCUAUCCACCGUUGCAUAUGUGCGAUCGGCGUAUGAAUUUAGGUUAUAUAUAUAUAUAUUUUUUUUUUUCAUUUUAAAUGGUGGGCCUCGCAGCCAACAAAUGCCCGUCACACAUUAACCGUUAGCCCUGUAUGGUCUCCGCCUGGCCCAUAUAAAUAAUUUGUUUUUUAUAUUCUUUUUCUUUCUUUUUUAAAUGGUGGACCCCGCAUUUUGCGUGUAGCGAACCGCCUAGCCCCAAAUGAUCUCCGCCUAAUCCAUAUAAAUUAUUUUUCGUUUAUAUUUUUUUUCCUCUUAAAAUCUGGGAAGAAACCUUUAGCGGCCUUACUGUUGUUGUUGCACAGCCGACUUCUCCGUCUCCGCCACGUAAUUGGACUACGGCCAUGGUCAUAUGUCUAAACUUAACAUGUAUGUGUUGAAUUGAAGUUUCUGAGUCAGAAGGCUGUUAGAGUCAUCGAUUGCAGGUAUAUAUGGUAUAUUAUUGCCGUAUAUAUAUUGGUUGAUUGUUUAGUUUCCGAGUUGUUGUUAAGGAUCGGGUUAAAAAGAUUGAGCAUUAUAUUAUAGCUAUUUAUAGCUAUAAACAGCACAUUGCAUAUCCAUUGAUGAAUUUAUGUUAGUGAUGCAUGUUGGAAUGAAAACUGAUCGGUGUUGGCUAGUUUGGAAUGAAAACUGAUUUGGUGUUAGCAAGUUUCAAUUGAAUAAAGUUUGAAUUGCAUUUUGUAUAUUCUAGAUUAAGUUAUUAAUUGUCGCUUCUGCAUGUUGGUUUUAUUCUUGUUUUAGGACAUUUUAAUCAGGUUUCAUUUUUUGUAUAUGUUACUAUUGAAUUUGUUGUGCUAGGUUUCUUGGUUCUACUUGCUGAUGAUGAAGUUUAGGUCCUGGCAAAGUUGAUAAUUUUGUAAGCUUGUAGGUGUUUUGCCUUGUGUCAUGGUCCAUUACGAAGGGUGAUGAUCCUGCAAAUGCAGCCUUCUCGGAAGUAAGUUAAUCUCAUGAAAUUAUCUCAUCUUUUUAAUCCUUGUCAGAGCUCUAUACAUUUUUUGGUUUAAGCAUACCAGCUUGUGUUUCAAGUCAAAUUUAUUGUUUGAGAUUCAUAUCUUUUGUUUAGUCUCUGUUGUUUUACUUUUAUUCGUCUCUUUGUCCAAUUGUUAUAAGAUCCGAAAACGUUAUAUAAGAUACUAGAUUGAGAAUGUUCCAAGUUCUAAAACACCACAUAAUGUUUCGUUUCGUGCAAAGGGACCUGAGACUGGAAGUCAAGUACCAUAUGGCCUUGCAGGGGAGAGUAGUCUGGUUAAACGUGAUUGACCCAGAUUUCACUGAAAUUCUUAGGAAUGACUAGAAUCUAGUUAAACAUGCAGUUGCCCCGUUGCCCUCAUGGACCUUGUGAGAAUGUGAGUGAAAGCAGCUUCCAGUGUUCCAUUUGAGCCAUAAGUUGGGCCUUUCUGCAACGGUCACCUUGGAGGACCAUUAAGGAACCAAACAAGUGGAUCGGCCCAUUUAUGAUCUUAGCCCUAGUCUAAGCAAGAACAAUAAGAGAGAGACUUGCAUGUCAAACUAUUCACUUCUUUCAUACAUGUAUGCAUAGGAAGUAAGUAAUGGCAAACAGAUGGUAUUAUGUAGGUGAUUGUAAAUCGAACAUAAACAUAUGGUUCCAUUCAAACCGAAGGAAUAUAAUGUACAACUUUUAGUGGGCUAAUUAACACGCAUAUCAAAGUUGCUUCUCUAGCUAGUAAAAGAACUAAGAACAACGUACCCUUAUUAUACUACUCAACAGUCGUUCAUAAAUUAAACAAACUCCAGAUUUUGAGUAAUAGAAAAUGGAGUUGCAUUGGACUUGUCCUACUUCUUUGUCGGCAAUAGACGGUGUGUAUGAGUGCAAUCGCAGCAGCAUCGAAUAUUUUAACUAGUUUGUAGGCUUGGGGAUCGUUCUUUCAUGUGAAUCAAUCACACAUAUAGUUGACCUAAUUUCAUACUCGCCCACUUUUUAUACUUAGAUGCAUCCAUCGCAUGGAGAUCGAGUUGGAGACCUAGCUAGCUAGCUCAUCUUAAUUAUUGGUACCAAAUUCUUCCAACAAAUGGACAAAUAAUUCAAAAAAAUAUAUGCAUAUGUGCACAGGACAAAAUUCAUAUGCAAUUUGAUGGAACUUUUAUUUCAUUAAUGGAAUAAAGAUUGUAACAACUUCUUCUUCUUCUUCUUCUUGUAGCUAGCUCUAUAAUGGAUGGCUGGCAUGGCUAACCUGAUCGUGACAUAUCCACCACCAUCACCAUUGAUCACCAACCAUGCUUUAUUAUUUUACUUUUGUUCUAUAUAUAAAAAACAACACCAACUUUAACGUACACUGUAAAAAUGGAGACACCGAUCGAUCGAGCUGGAAGCAGUUUUCCCACAAAGUAUAGUAGAAGGUCAAGGCAGGUAUACAGAUAUGAUCGAUUUUACAUGAUGGCGCACGCUUGGGGAUUUUCUUCACUGAAACAAUCAGGGCGUGUCACGCAGUAACUACUAGUGGCGUAGCUCCUCCCACCGCCGUAACUAUCGUACACUGGCCUUCCAUAGUAGCCGUCGUACUGUAUGUAUGGUGCUGCCCCACCGUAACCGUACCCAGUUUGGCAGGGACCACCCGGAUGCCCUCCGUAACAUUCCAUACAACACGCGUUCACCGUCACCGGAGGGUAAGCAGUAACCGGAGGCUGAGUAGGCUGAGAAGGCUUCGGCUUCUCUGCGUCCUUGGGUUUCUCUUUAGGUUUUUCAGCCUCUUUAGGUUUCUCAGCCUCCUUUGGUUUCUCAGCCUCUUUUGGUUUCUCUUUAGGCUUUUCAGCCUCUUUAGGUUUCUCAGCCUCCUUUGGUUUCUCUUUAGGCUUCUCAGCCUCCUUUGGUUUCUCUUUAGGCUUCUCAGGCUCCUUGGGCUUGGGCUUCUCGGGCGGCAAGAUGUCGAUGCUCUUGAUGGCGCCACCUCCUUUGCAGCAUAGCUUGUCUCUGAUCUUCUCAGGACUGCAGCAGACCACCUUGAUGAUCACCUGGUUGUUCUUCUCGUCGUACGCCUGGUCUCGUAUUUCUCUUGUUCACAAAAUCCAACCAAUACCAGAAACCACACUCAAUUU
rnacentral:lncRNA from 1 species